CUCGGGUUGGCGAGGUCCGGGAGCCCUCGGUGCCGCGAUGGGAAGUGCUUGCCCACGGCCCGGCCUGGGGACACACUCCCGCGCCCUCCAGGCCCCUGAGCUGUUCCUGGGAAAGGGCGUGAACGAAGCUCCCGCACAACCCCUUUCUUUCUCUUGGCACUUCCCAGUAAACCCUCCAGGUGUCCAGCUACACGACUGGACCUCAGUGCCCACUACAUGGACAAGCCUUGAAACUCAUCCAUCCAAACAUCAGAUAAACCUAAACUGAGAGACAUUUCACAAAACUACACAAAGAUGAAGAAGGGCUGAGGAACUGCACCAGACCGAAGGAAAGGAAAGAGACAGAACAACUAGAUGCAGUGCGUGAUCCCAGCUUGCAUCUUGGAUGGGGGGGAAAUUGCUGUUAAGGACAUAAUUGGCAAAAUUUGCAUGUGGAUUAUAUAACAGUAAUAUUGUAUCAAUGUUAAAUUUCCUGAAUUGGAUCAUUGAAACGUGG
rnacentral:lncRNA from 1 species